ACUGUUAUCUGAGGUGUACGGGCGUACGGUAUGACGCAUGUGAUGAAACCAACAACACUAUCACAGUCCUUAGUCCUUACUAAAUACUAGCUACUCCUUUUUCUAAUUUCUGUACAGUUUUUUGUGAAUAAUGUCUGAGAAAAGACCUAACGUGUUUUAUGUGUUCAAUUUUAAGAAAAACAAAGUUGUGUCUGUCGAUGGUUGCAAUAGUAUUGAAAAAACAAAGAACAUCCUUUUGCCUGAUGGUAUAGAAGUUGACAAUCCUAAUUUAUUAAAAAAUGAGACCGUUAAAAGUACAUCUUUAUCAAUGCCUGUUUUGACUGAAAAUGAAAUUUACAAGAAAGAUAUUGCUUGCUUCAUAAUGGACCAAACGAUGAAAAAGUCUGAAAUUGUUGAUUGUUUAAAACACAUUUGUAUACCUCCACUUGAUUUUAGUUUUCCAGAGAACAUAGAAGGCAAACAAAAAAGAAUAUUUCAGCAUAAGUAUUUAACACAAUAUUCUUGGCUAGCUUAUAGUAAUAUACAUAAAGGAGCCUAUUGUAAAUUUUGCGUUUUGUUUGCUUUUUCUGGUGGUGGAGUAGGCAGACAGAAUUUGGGAAAAUUAGUAACUGUACCUAUGUUAAAGUUUAAAGAUGCUAAGAAUGACUUCAACAAACAUUCAAAAACUGAAUAACAUCUUCUUUCUGUUCAAAGUGUUAUCGACUUCCUCAUCAAUUUUAAAAAUGGGUGUGAAAAAACACUUGAUUUAAUCUUUGAUUAACAUUUACAAGAAACGAUUGAGAGCAACAAAAGAAGGCUGAUACCAAUUGUUAAGACAAUAUUAUUCUGUGCUAGAAAUAAUUUACCAUUGCGUGGUCAUCGAGAAACUGGAUUUUUAUCAUUAGAAAGUGUGAGAAGUUCUUGUAUAGGUGGUGAACAAGAGUUCUUCGUGAACUUCUGGCUUUUCGGGUCGACAGUGGUGAUACAGAACUUCAAAUAUACUUUGAAACAUCCCCUAAAAACUGCACAAUGAUCAGCCCCAAAGUCCAGAAUGAGAUAAUUGAUUGAUGAAACUACUGAUAUUAGCACUAUUGAACAGAUGACAGUAUGUAUACGAUAUGUAGAUACGUCAUCUUGGAUACUUAGAGAAGAUUUUAUAGGAUUUGUAAAAAUGACUUCAACAACUGGUUUAGCAAUUAAAAAUGC